GGAAGGUGGUCUAAUUCAGUGCUUAGCACUCAGCUUGCUCAGGGCUUGGAAAGAGACCCUUCGAUAGUGAGGCAGCUCUUACAGAGGAAUCCAAAGGGGAUUCUAGACAAUAAAGCGGUUGCAAACUCCCUUCAGGAAGAGUAGGGAGGUACCGAAGAGACAAAGACAACUAUGUAAGGCUUAGACAAAGCUACUACCGAGACUCCUUUCUUUGGAAAGCUCUCUCUUCAACAAGCACUCUUGCAAAGAGAAUCAGGGCGGGCUAGCUCUCUCUCUUCAAGCACUCUUGCCUAAUCAGGGCUAGCUCUCUCUCUCUUUCAAUAAGAACUAUAAUCGAAUCACUCUUACCAUUCAAGCACGACUUAUAGCUAUCUAUCCCGACUACUUGUGCUAUGGACUAUCCCGACUACUUGUGCUAUGGAAAGUUCUAAAACUACUAAACGAAAGGAAGGCAAACAGCUUAUGACCAGGAAAAGUACUACAACAACUAUGCCAGCUAUGAAAGUGAGAUCUAUCAUGAACAAGACAAUUCCACUAGAAAAGCGAGAGACAGACCUGCUGUUAAAGUAAGACAAUCAAGAGCUAUAUAGCUAGAAAAUGAUAGACUUGUAAAGUGUGAGACAGAUGACCUGCUCUCUUUAUUGGCGAGAAGAUAAUAAGUCGAAAGGACAAAAAACGAAGCCCUAACCUAAUAAGAAGGAAGAACUACUUCUGGAAGGGUAAGAAACUCCACGGACCUAAAAAAGAGAAAAGAAAGCAAAGAAGAGACCAACUUCUGAGAUACCCGCUAGCUUAGGUCUCAGUGAGCAACGAGCUUCUUCAAUAGCUAGCCUAGCCUUCACCGCUACUUCUUUAUUAUAGUUGUUUAUUAUCAUAUAUUACAGAACGAUUCCUUUAGCCCUACCCUAGCUCCAAAAGACUAGCUACACUCUUUCCAUUCCUUUUCUAAGAGACACUUGAUUUGAUACUAUACUUGCAGAGACACUUUCUUUUAUACUAUACUUGCUAAAGGAAAGGAAAGGCGAAGUAUCAACUUAUCUAACACAAGCACAAGUGCCUAUGCCUCUCUGUCCUAAAGUAGUAUAGGGUUCCCGAUAUUCUAGAGUAACAUGCUUUUGACCCAAUGUUAGAAUAUUGCACACUUAUAUGAAAUUCUUUAGUGGAGUCGAGUCUCAGAUAUACAUACAUACAUUCUGAAUUCUUAAGUCGAGUCUCAGAUAUACAUACAUUCUUAAGUAUAGCCGAGUCUCAGAUAGACAUAUUUGUUAUACGCCGCUCUUCUCUAUCCGUAUUCUUAUCUAUCAUAUUCUACUUAUAUAUCUUUUAUUACUUUACAGAACAGAGCACAGGCCUAACUCAGCCUUGUGUUUCAUCCGUGCUCAAGCAGUCUCCUCGUUUCGUAUCAAGAAGGGAGUGGAGCUGAUCUAGCGUUAGCGAGCUACUUUCCCGGGGUUCAAUUGAUUGAUACCUUACUUUAGACUUUCUACUCAACUUGCAUUAAUAACUAAGCUAAGUCGGCGGAGUUGGGCCUAAGUGAAGUCAACCAUUCAUUUCAUAUUCCAUCUAUAUAGCAUAUGAGAUAUCUAUAUCAUAGUAAAGUCUAACCUCACUCUAAGAUCAUUGUCUUUACUUCAAUCUAUACCCCAUACAUCAUGUGCAAGAAAGAGAACAAGCAAGUCCAACAAGUAACUGAGCAAGCAAUCCAACAAGCUAAUCUAGAUUUGUAGGUUCAGAGCAAGUCCAACUAGCAAUGGAAGAAACAACGGGUAGAUCACCAUCCGCGGGAUCUUCUGCUGCUAUUGGGUAAUCUUCAAGCCUUUGUUUGUGCUUCUGUUAUUGGCUUUCCCUUAUUGAGUAGUGGUCCAACUGAACUAAUUAACACAGACCUAUGAGCUGGAACAACAACUUGCGGACUUUUUCCCUUGCUUAUUUUAGCACAACGGGGAACUAUACAAUAAUAAUGCUAGUUUGCUCGUAGAACUCAACAAUACACUUUGACUUCUCUUCUUGAACUCACAAACCUCAAGGACUAGAUUGAGAAUUAGUAUAUCAGUCUUAAGUAGCCAGAUAGAGAAUUAGUAUAUAAGACAGUAAGUAAGAAAGACAGUAAGUAGAUCUAAUAAAGUGACAACAUUGCGUACUUAUCAAGCAGCAACAACAGUGUUACCAGUGAACAAACAAUCUGAAUGACGAAAAUCUUUUCCUGAACGUGUUAACUCCAAUAACUUGAAGAACUGUUUCCCUUACUUCCGGACUCCUUAAGAACUGCUUCCUUCGUAACUCCCACCUUGAGCCUGGUAUGAGAGCUAGAAUUGAGUGCACCUAGGAACUGGUCACUGUAAUACGGCUUAAAUGCAUUUAAACACCCGAUAGGGUAGCUUGAUGAUGGAUGUUGUUUGUUUAUAUUCGAGUCGUUUCCCGUAGGUGAAAGACCAGAAAGAUGCCUUUUUCAAACGAUGAAGUCUAAAGUGAGAGAGAAAUAAGAUCCGUUUGAUAAGAAGCCGAAGAUCAUAUCCUUUCGAAUGCUUAGCUAAGCUUAGCCCACUGAGCCUGCGUUAAAGUGUUUCUUCGGGGUGUCUCUCUUGCUAUUGACAAGGUGCUUCAAGCCUUUCUAGCAAUAGAGUCCGGAAAGCUUCAAGUAAGGGCGGAGGUUGGCGCGUAAAGAAUAGAUGUUGUCUCAAGUAAGAGGUAAGGAGCUGAAUUGCCAGUUCCAGAAGAAAGAAGAAGGAGCGGGAAGGGAAGUCGACUCGAAUUGCAAGUUCGAAAGUCCGCAGAGGAAGCAUGUGCCUACGGAACAAGCAAAUCACUUCUGGUUUUUGGGUGCUAACAUUUAAUGAGUUCCAACAAGCUAUGUUCCUAAGCGCGUUGUUGAGUUGAGUUCAAUGUUUAAGACGGAUAUUAUUCUUUUCUUAAAGCAAGAGCGAUUCGGUGCCUUAGCCGACAUCAAUCUUCUAUUCUAUUCUAUGGGUGAGUUAAGUAUUGAGUAAGGAGUCAGGGAGCAGUAAGCAAUGCGGAGUUACUCUCUUAUGGGAGCAGUAAGCAAUGCGGAGUUAUUCUCUUAUAUAAUAUGCGGAUCAUGUGAAACAAGCUAGGGCGCUAAGUCAAGUGAAAAAGGUAUUUUGUAAAGCCCACUAAGGAAGGGUAGUAAACGUCGUCCAGCUGCCUAUGUACUGCAAGAAAGCGUGCCUUUUCUUUGUUGACCGGCGGAAGCGGUAAGUCAAGAAGUGUCCGGGUGCUAGGAAAUUCGAUAUUCUUUUCUUUUGAGGCUAAAGGGAAAGAAGACUGUGCUGGUUUCCUAGGCGCAAGUGAAAUAAAUGCAUUCUUUUUCUUUGUUUUACUCGGUGCAAGAGAGAUUAGCAAGAGAUGAUGACUUCUUUUCUUUGUCAGUUCAAUUUCCAUUAAUUUGUUUGUCGGCGCUACAAGUAAGGUGGAGUUUUCGUCUUAAAGUAGAGCAAGGAGUCAGCUGUAAGGUAGAGCCAGAGAAAAAGUAAGCUCUUUGUUUGAGAAUCUUUCUACCCUUACGAGUCAUCAAUAGAGUCAGCUGUAAGCCGUAAGCUGUGAGGGGUUCAAACUAGCAGUGAGGUUUUUUAGGUUGUUGCCUUCAUUGUAUACUAUGUCCGUGAAAUGAUGAAAUAUGUCCGUGAAAUGAUUAAAGCAACAGCGAAAGCUGCAAGGGAAUAAAGAUCGUCAGUAGUAGAAGAUAAGAUGAUGCUGUAUCUUGACUCCCAUCUAGCUGUAUCUUGACUCCCAUCUAUACAAAGUACUAGCAAGUCUGGUUUUGUUUUUAGUAGGACAGGAACCUGAUCUUCAGCUGUGCGAAAGGAAUCCAAUAUGGAGUUUUCAAUGAAAGGUAUUGGUUGGUGUCGAGAGUUUGAUUACCGAGUGCUGUCUUCAACUCGAAGGCGGGGCACCCAUACAAUAUCACAGCUUCGUAUUAAUGGAGUAGGAGGUCACUGAGUUACCUAGAAAAGUCAUAAACAGCCUAACACUGAAUUGGCAGUCCACUUAGGUCAAGUCAAGCAAAGGUUCUCGGGGGUGAAUGAAUUUACUAGAUGGUUUCUCUACAUUGGGGGCAGUAAUUCAGAAAUGCUCUAAUGGAUGCCCAUAGUCACCAACAUAUAAAACAUUCUAGACUUACCCUUUCACUAGACUUGUAUACAGUAAAGGCAGUAAUAAGUUUGAUUAAUUAGUUCAGCACCAUAUAGUGUGAAGCUCGGGAAAACAUCUUGGGACGGACUAACUGCUUUGAAGGGAAAGGCUGUCUCAUGAACUGGAUUGCGGGUGGUAAGGGGAGAGCGGGGACUACGUGAAGCAUUUCAUAUAAAUCUCAUUCGAUUCUUGCAUUAGUGGGCCAUACACAACUCUAAGAUUCCCCUAUUCUAUUCCAAUUUGUAGUUAGGAGAAAAGAGACAACCUGCCCCCACUCAUGGGACUUCGAAAGAAGGAAUAAGCCAAAGCAAGAAAGAGACGGGUAGGUAGGGGCUAGCUCCGCCUUACUGCCAGGCUUCCCAUUGAGAAAGUGGCCGACGCCCUUAUUAAUGAAACCCAUAUGAUCCCACCCAUACAUAUAAGUAAGAGAAAGAGAGAAGUUAUUCCCAUACAUAUAAGUAAGAGAAAGAGAUAAGUUAUUGAUUUUGUACAUUUCAUAUUUGUACUGGUACUAAAAUAUAGUGAAUAAUGUGGGCAAGGCAUCCACACUCAUUUUCUAAGAUAAUAGAAGUGUUUACAAUAGAUAU
rnacentral:lncRNA from 1 species